CAUCUCCACCCAGCUGGCACGUGGCUCACAGAAAAUCAAGCACACCCGUCUCUCACUCAGGCCUUCAAGAGCCUAUAAGGCAACUCAGCACACCUGUGUUGAAAUAAUCUCUACAAACAAAGACCUCAUCUUUAAGCUCCUGCAGAAACACCACUGGUUUUCAACCUGCUUGGGUGUCAUGUAUUGGAAAGUACAGUGAUUUAAAGA